UGGAUGGAGUGGGUUGGCAGGCUCCGUGCUCGCGCAUCGAACUGUUGWCCGUCCGUCCUCUUCAGUCUUUCCCCAAGCUCUCUUGCCUUGUGGGUGCAUAAGGUAUCCUGUGUUGCUUACCAACGAAAAGGAAUUCGUUUGUCCCGUUGCCCAUGUCCGCCUUGUGCCUUUCGGGGCGCGGGGUGGACUCAAGGCGGUUCUGUGUUCCCGGCAUGCCUCUGCUCGAGUCAUUGGCUGCCGCGGCCCAUGGGGUCUUCGCCCGUUCUCUUGGAUGCGGAAAGCAAAGCGUGGACGUGAGGUCUCAUCCUCAUUUCGUCCAAGCCAACGCACUGUCCUCGGACAGAUUCGGACGACUGCUGCGCCCGUCUUGCCAGCGGCCCCUAGGGGGCGGYUCAUGCGGGCGUCGGCGUCGGRAAAGAAUGCUAC
rnacentral:misc_RNA from 1 species